AUGGCCACCGCCGCAGUCCGCCGCCUACUCCGUCCCACCUCCUCCACCGCCUUGUCCCGUGCCCGCCGCCUCCUCUCCUCCACCGCUUCUUCACCGCCGAACCGCAGCCCCAACACGAACAGCCCCGUCUCCUUCGACUGGUCCGACGACGACGAGAGUCCCCCCGCACCUCCACCCGCAUCCCCGGCAAAGAACCCCACUCUGCCGCCGCCCUACGACCCCUUCAGCAAGAAGCACGCCGUGGCAGACCCACCCGACUCCACCAACCUUCAGGAAGUCUUCCACCGGAUGCGCACCGGAGGGCUUACUGACUAUGCCAUCAAGAUGUUCGACGGAUUGUCCAAGGACGGGCUCACGCACGAAGCGUUGGCUCUCUUCUCGAUCAUCAAGGAUAAGGGCGCCAUGCCCGAUGUCGUUGCCCACACAGCCGUCCUGGAGGCCUACGCGAAUGCUGGCCCCGGCCACUGGGGUGACGCCGUGCGGACCUACAAGCGCAUGCUCUCCAGCGGGGUCGCGCCGAAUGCGUACACCAUGGCCGUGCUCGUCAAGGGGCUUGCAGCGAGCGACCGGUGCGCGGAGGCCGGCAAGUACCUGCUGGAGAUGCUCGACCGUGGGAUGCGGCCCAAUGUUGAGACGUGCCUGGCUACCUUUGAGGCGCACGUCAGGAUGAACAAGGUGGAAGAGGGGAAGGCUCUGCUGGAGAUGAUGAAGAAGAAGGGGUUCGUGUUGGACGAGGAGGGGGUGCGCAGCGGCACCGUCAAGCGGGGGCAUGUCUUCAGGGCUGUCAUGAACAUGCUCUUUGGAAAGUGA
rnacentral:rRNA from 1 species